GAUGAAGAACGCAGCGAAAUGCGAUAAGUAAUGUGAAUUGCAGAAUUCAGUGAAUCAUCGAAUUUUUGAACGCACAUUGCGCCCGCCAGUAUUCUGGCGGGCAUGCCUGUUCGAGCGUCAUUACAACCCUCAGGCCCCCGGGCCUGGCGUUGGGGAUCGGCGGAAGCCCCCUGCGGGCACAACGCCGUCCCCCAAAUACAGUGGCGGUCCCGCCGCAGCUUCCAUUGCGUAGUAGCUAACACCUCGCAACUGGAGAGCGGCGCGGCCACGCCGUAAAACACCCAACUUCUGAAUGUUGACCUCGAAUCAGGUAGGAAUACCCGCUGAACUUAAGCAUAUCAAUAAGCGGAGGA
rnacentral:misc_RNA from 1 species